AUAAACACAGACAUAGAGCAGCCACCGGGAAGCAGAGAGGCUGAUACCGACAGGGAGAGAGAGGGAGGCAGCCAUUUUGGCAUUUACAAUUCUCACUGCUGUUUUUAAGUAAUUUUAUUUAAAUUUUUCAUUCAGGGGGGGACAUAGCAGGGAUAUAAAAGCAGGUGUUCCCUUUAAGAGGGAAAGGAUCAGGACCAAGGACAGCAUCCUCCAUCUCCAUCCUCCAUCUCCAGCUCCUGUAUAGGUACCACAGUUUGAGAGGAAGUCCGAGUGACCAGGCCAGACUUCAACCUCAGUCCCUCCACCUACAUGGAGCUCAGCUGUUAUGGAUGGGAGAAGCCUAACCCUGUCUGAGAAACCCCUAUGAACAACAGACCCAAUGGACAUCAAAGGCCAGUCCUGGACUGAUGAGGAAUCAGAUGGGGAGAAUGAGUCGGAGCAGUUCCUCUAUGGGAUCCAGGGGAGCUGUGCUGCUGACCUGUACCGACACCCUCAACUGGAUGCAGACAUCGAGGCAGUGAAGGACAUCUAUACCGACAGUGCUGUCUCUGUCAGAGAGUAUGGAACCAUUGAUGAUGUGGACAUUGACCUUCAGAUUAAUAUCAGUUUCUUGGAUGAGGAGGUGGCAACUGCCUGGAAGGUCAUCCGAACAGAGCCCAUCAUUCUGAGACUACGGUUCUCUCUCUCCCAGUACCUAGAUGGACCAGAACCAUCAGUGGAGGUGUUCCAGCCCUCCAAUAAAGAGGGCUUCAGCCUGGGCCUGCAGCUCAAGAAGAUCCUGAGUACGUUCACGUCACAGCAGUGGAAGCACCUCAGUAAUGAGUUCCUGAAGGCCCAGCAGGAGAAGAGACACAGCUGGUUCAAGGCCGGGGGAACCAUCAAGAAGUUCCGCGCAGGACUCAGCAUCUUCUCUCCCAUCCCCAAGUCCCCCAGCUACCCUCUGAUCCAGGACACGGUUCUGAAGGGGAAGCUGAGUGUUCCAGAACUGAGGGUGACCCGGCUCAUGAAUCGCUCCAUCUCCUGCACCAUGAAGAACCCCAAGGGGGAGCUGUUCAGCUACCCCCCAAACAGCCAGACUGUGGCUGUCCCGGCGGCCAGGGCCCCAGCGCAGAUUACCACGAGGCAGCUGAUUGAAUUGUUUUUCUCAUCCCAGGCGGGCGGCCACUGCAAGAACAUCCCUACUUUGGAGUAUGGCUUCUUAGUACAGAUAAUGAAAUACUCGGAGCAGAGGAUCCCCACUCUCAAUGAGUACUGUGUGGUCUGUGACGAGCAGCACGUCUUUCAGAACGGAUCCAUGUUGAAGCCGGCUGUGUGCACUAGAGAGCUAUGUGUGUUCUCCUUCUACACUCUGGGGGUGAUGUCAGGAGCAGCAGAGGAGGUGGCCACUGGAGCAGAGGUGGUGGAUCUGCUGGUGGCUAUGUGUCGGGCUGCUCUGGAGUCUCCUCGUAAAAGCAUCAUCUUCGAACCCUACCCGUCUGUGGUCGACCCCAACGACCCCAAGACUCUGGCCUUCAACCCAAAGAAGAAGAACUAUGAGAGAUUGCAAAAAGCACUGGACAGUGUCAUGUCCAUCCGCGAGAUGACCCAGGGCUCAUAUCUGGAGAUUAAGAAACAGAUGGACAAACUGGACCCCCUGGCUCACCCUCUACUGCAGUGGAUCAUAUCCAGUAACCGAUCCCAUAUCGUCAAGCUGCCUCUGAGUAGGCAACUGAAGUUCAUGCACACAUCCCACCAGUUCCUAUUACUCAGCAGCCCGCCUGCCAAGGAGGCACGCUUUCGCACGGCCAAGAAGCUCUACGGCAGCACCUUUGCCUUCCAUGGUUCCCAUAUAGAGAACUGGCACUCCGUUCUGAGAAAUGGACUAGUCAAUGCCUCUUAUACCAAACUGCAGGUAUGUAGAUCCAGCAGUUGGCUGAACUAAGACGCAUCCUCCCUUGGACAGAGCCUGUCUGUCCUCCUCACACACAGUGCAGGUUGGCUGUCCAGCUGAUCCAUUUUGACAGUAACGGAUGCCAGGUUUCUCUCUCAAUGUAUUGGACGCUUUAAAAUGCCAGGCCCACCAGUAAUUUCCCCCUGGCAUAUGUCGAGCACUUCCUGUUUCCUGCUCUGACAGCAGUGGACACCACGCCUCUUCCUGUCCUGAUAGAGAGGCGGAGGGGCUGUGUUGUCUGCUGGGGGGCUGGGGGUUACCAGUCGGCCUGGCUGAAGGCGUGGCUGCCUGGGUUGACCACUAAGAGCACUGAGUAGACUAGGUCAGAGGUUACGACUGCUGCCCCGCCCCAUGUCUGUUUCGCUAUGAGGAUCCACAGAGUGGGUGAGUGGGUGAGGGAACCAAGGAAGGUCAGUAACGGUCAUCACCUAUACUGUCUCUCUUAUUUACCUCUAUACUGAACCUAAUGAUGUUUAAUAUGUAUAUGGCUGAACCUCCUGGUAGUCCAAGACAAUGUACAAGACAUUAAACCACAUGCAUGACAAUCUACUUCUAUGUCUAUAGACUCUUAGGUUCAUGCUGUAUGCAUCUUGAAAACACGCCAUCUCGCUCCUCCCUGUUGUUGUAUUAUGCUGUAUGACCUGGAGAAGUCAGCAGGGUGUUUGUUGUCAGUUAGCAGUUUAUUAUGAGUAUAUUACAGUAUUAUAACCUUUGCCGUUAGAGCUUUGAAGACUCGUCUUUCAUCUCCUUGUUCUGCGUCCCUCGCUCUCUCCCUCCUCUUCACCUUGAGCGUGUGUUUGUUCACUCUGUCACGCCUUCAGCUCGCACAGCAAAUCUCAUUGUGUCUCUGUCUCUCUCUCACGCUGUCCUUCAGAUACACAUGUCAUCUCUGUCUCUCUCUCUCAUGCUGUCCUUCAAAUACAUGUCAUCUCUGUCUCUCUCUCUCACGCUGUCCUUCAGAUACAUGUCAUCUCUGUCUCUCUCUCUCACGCUGUCCUUCAGAUACAUGUCAUCUCUGUCUCUCUCUCAUGCUGUCCUUCAAAUACAUGUCAUCUCUGUCUCUCUCUCUCACACUGUCCUUCAGAUACACGUCAUCUCUGUCUCUCUCUCUCACGCUGUCCUUCAGAUACACAUGUCAUCUCUGUCUCUCUCUCUCACGCUGUCCUUCAGAUACACAUGUCAUCUCUGUCUCUCUCUCUCACGCUGUCCUUCAGAUACACAUGUCAUCAAAUUCAAAUUCAAAUUCAAGCUGCUUUAUUGGCAUGAAACACAUUGUGUCAAUAUUGCCAAAGCAACAAUGUAUACAAUAUACAUUGUAACAAAAUGAUAAAUGAUAGCAAAUAUAAAAUAUAAAAUGGUAGUAAAUAAUAAUACAAAAUUAAAUACAAAAAUAAUAACAAUAACAUGGUAACAGUCAAUAGUAGAAAUAUAAUAAAUAUAAAAUCAAAUUAUGAAAAAUUAAACUAUAACUAACUUAUAACUAAAUAACGGUCAUCUUCUCCUUUAUAUCAGUACUACAACUACAAUCAUCAUUACCACGACUACUACUACCAUCACUAAACUGUUAUCACUACCAUUACCACCCACAUUUGGAAUGAUAAACAUUAAUAAUUAUAGUAAUAACAAUAAUAGCAAUAAUAAGUAAGUUACAGCUUACUAUGCAGAUGUUAUUAUUCAGUGUCCCUCAGGCUAUGGCAGGAAAAUACAUAUUUGCCUGCAAGAGGAGCCAUUGCUCCUUUGGCCAUGAGUAUUCUUAGUUUUUCCUCUGGGUUCAAUUUGUAAAAUGUGGAAUAUGUGUAGUAAUUUCUGUGAAUAAUGAAUCUCUUUGUGAGGAAUAUUUAUCACAGUAAAGGAGAAAGUGCAUCUCUGUCUCUACCUCCCCUGUUGUGCAGUGACCACAUACACGCUCCUCUUUGGGUAGCCAUGUCUUUUUAUGUCUGCCGGUUUCUAUUGCCAAUCGGUGGUCACUCAGCCUGUACUUGGUAAGGAUCUGUCUCUGCUUCGUAUCUCUGACAGAGUAGAGCUAAUCAGCCAAUUCAUAUUCUCUGUUUAGGGUCAGAUAGCAAUUUAGUCGGCUUUGGGAUUUUGUUUCAUUUUUCCAAUGUUGUAAAUAUGAUUCCUUUGAUUGGUUCAUGAUUUUGCUUAUUGGAAUUCUUUCUUUUGAAGCAGUGCUGGUGUCAACAUGGUUGGUGUCUCUCUCUGUGUCUCUCUCCCUGUCAAUUCAAUUCAAUUCAAUUCAAGGGGCUUUAUUGGCAUGGGAAACAUGUGUUAACGUUGCCAAAGCAAGUAAGGUAGAUAAUAUAUAAAGUGAAAUAAACAAUAAAAAUUAACAGUAGACAUCACACAUACAGAAGUAUCAAAACAAUAAAGACAUUACACAUGUCAUAUUAUAUAUAUAUACAGUGUUUUUACAAUGUACGAAUGGUAAAGGACACAAGAUAAAAUAAAUAAGCAUAGAUAUGGGUUGUAUUUACAAUGGUGCGUGUUCUUCACUGGUUGCCCUUUUCUCGUGGCAACAGGUCACAAAUCUUGCUGCUCUGAUGGCACACUGUGGAAUUUCACCCAGUAGAUAUGGGAGUUUUUCAAAAUUGGAUUUGUUUUCGAAUUCUUUGUGGAUCUGUGUAAUCUCCGGGAAAUAUGUCUCUCUAAUAUGGUCAUACAUUGGGCAGGAGGUUAGGAAGUGCAACUCAGUUUCCACCUCAUUUUGUAGGCAGUGAGCACAUAGCCUGUCUUCUCUUGAGAGCCAUGUCUGCCUACGGCGGCCUUUCUCAAUAGCAAGGCUAUGCUCGCUGAGUCUGUACAUAGUCAUAUCUGUCUCUCUCUCUCUCACGCUGUUCUUCAGAUACAUGUCAUCACUGUCUCUCUCUCUCUCACGCUGUCCUUCAGAUACAUGUCAUCUCUGUCUCAAUAGCAAGGCUAUGCUCGCUGAGUCUGUACAUAGUCAUCUCUCUCUCUCUCUCUCUCACGCUGUCCUUCAGAUACAUGUCAUCACUGUCUCUCUCUCACGCUGUCCUUCAGAUACAUGUCAUCUCUCUCUCUCUCUCUCUCUCUCUCUCUCUCUCUCUCUCUCUCUCCUGCUGUCCUUCAGAUACAUGUCAUCUCUGUCUCUCUCUCUCUCUCUCUCUCUCUCUCUCUCCUGCUGUCCUUCAGAUACAUGUCAUCUCUGUCUCCUAAACUCAGAAGUGAUUCUUCUUCCUCCACUCUCACAAAGUAUUUCCGUGGGUGUCACCUCUCCACUGGAGCUGAAACUCCCUCUGCUCUGCCAUGGAUGUCCAUCAAACAUUCCCCGUCUUCAUCAUCCGUCUUCAUCCUCGUCCUCCCCUUAUUCUGUCGCCAUCCGUUCUGAUGUAGUUCCACGUCCUUAUGGAUGAUUUACAUGAAUAUUCAACACAAGACUUCUACAUGGACGUUUGUUACCUCACCUCAACAUCUUAUGAGGUCUUAGUGGGGAGUGGAACAGGAGACCAUGGGGUCCUACAAUAGUCAAUAUAUUGUACUUUAGGCAGGUUUCUUUUUCUAUUGCACUUCACCUCGUGGUUCAACAUAGAGCCCACUGUGUUCUACCUUCUACCUUCUCUCUGCACUGCUACCUCUCUGUGUGUGUGUCUCUUGUGUGCGUGUGUGUGCGUGUAUGAGCGUGUGUGUCUCUGAGUGUAUGUUCCUCUGGCAGUGUGUCUCUGAGUGUGUGUGUGUGUGUGUGUGUGUGUCUCUUGACUGUGUGCUCUGCUGGUGGGCUCUCAGUGAUUCUUCCCCCUGCUCUUUUCAACACAAGCUGCAUGGUGCAGCCUAUGGAAAGGGUAUCUAUCUCAGCCCCAUCUCCAGCAUUUCCUUUGGAUACUCAGGGAUGGGUAAAGGACAGCACCGCAUGCCAA